CCUACGGGUGGCAGCAGUAGGGAAUCUUCCACAAUGGACGAAAGUCUGAUGGAGCAACGCCGCGUGAGUGAAGAAGGGUUUCGGCUCGUAAAGCUCUGUUGGUAGUGAAGAAAGAUAGAGGUAGUAACUGGCCUUUAUUUGACGGUAAUUACUUAGAAAGUCACGGCUAACUACGUGCCAGCAGCCGCGGUAAUACGUAGGUGGCAAGCGUUGUCCGGAUUUAUUGGGCGUAAAGCGAGUGCAGGCGGUUCAAUAAGUCUGAUGUGAAAGCCUUCGGCUCAACCGGAGAAUUGCAUCAGAAACUGUUGAACUUGAGUGCAGAAGAGGAGAGUGGAACUCCAUGUGUAGCGGUGGAAUGCGUAGAUAUAUGGAAGAACACCAGUGGCGAAGGCGGCCGCCUGGCCUGUUGCUGACGCUGAGGCACGAAAGCGUGGGGAGCAAAUAGGAUUAGAUACCCUUGUAGUC
rnacentral:rRNA from 1 species